UGAGAGAAGCUAUGACUCUGACCUGC
rnacentral:piRNA from 1 species